rnacentral:rRNA from 2 species
AUGGACGCAAGUCUGAUGGAGCAACGCCGCGUGAGUGAAGAAGGCUUUCGGGUCGUAAAACUCUGUUGUUGGAGAAGAAUGGUCGGCAGAGUAACUGUUGUCGGCGUGACGGUAUCCAACCAGAAAGCCACGGCUAACUACGUGCCAGCAGCCGCGGUAAUACGUAGGUGGCAAGCGUUAUCCGGAUUUAUUGGGCGUAAAGCGAGCGCAGGCGGUUUUUUAAGUCUGAUGUGAAAGCCCUCGGCUUAACCGAGGAAGUGCAUCGGAAACUGGGAAACUUGAGUGCAGAAGAGGACAGUGGAACUCCAUGUGUAGCGGUGAAAUGCGUAGAUAUAUGGAAGAACACCAGUGGCGAAGGCGGCUGUCUGGUCUGUAACUGACGCUGAGGCUCGAAAGCAUGGGUAGCGAACAGGAUUAGAUACCCUGGUAGUCCAUGCCGUAAACGAUGAAUGCUAGGUGUUGGAGGGUUUCCGCCCUUCAGUGCCGCAGCUAACGCAUUAAGCAUUCCGCCUGGGGAGUACGACCGCAAGGUUGAAACUCAAAGGAAUUGACGGGGGCCCGCACAAGCGGUGGAGCAUGUGGUUUAAUUCGAAGCAACGCGAAGAACCUUACCAUGGUCUUGACAUCUUU